rnacentral:rRNA from 1 species
UUGCUGGUGUAACCGGGUCCAGCCUCCGGGCUGGGCCUAUUUAGGAACCCGAGUUAAUGAUAAACAGGGACUGUCGGGGGCAUCCGUACUACGGCGCGAGAGGUGAAAUUCAGUGACCGCCGUAGGACGAACAACAGCGAAAGCAUUUGCCAAGAAUGUCUUCGUUGAUCAAGAACGAAAGUUAGAGGAUCGAAGGCGAUCAGAUACCGCCCUAGUUCUAACCCUAAACGAUGCUGACCAGCUAUUCGCCGUCGUUAUUCCCAUGACGUGGCGAGACGCCCCCGGGAAACCUCGAGUCUUUGAGUUCCGGGGGUAGUAUGGUUGCAAAACUGAAACUUAAAGGAAUUGACGGAAGGGCACCACCAGGAGUGGAGCCUGCGGCUUAAUUUGACUCAACACGGGAAACCUCACCAGGCCCGGACACCAGAAGGAUUGACAGAUUAAGAGCUCUUUCUCAAUUUGGUGGGUGGUGGUGCAUGGCCGUUCUUAGUUGGUGGAGUGAUUUGUCUGGUUAAUUCCGGUAACGAACGAGACUCUGGCCUACUAACUAGUGGGCGGGUGUUCCGGUAAGGGGCCCCGUCCGACAAUGUCUUCUUAGAGGGAUGAGCAGCGAGUAUAGCUGCAGGAGAUUGAGCAAUAACAGGUCUGUGAUGCCCUUAGAA